rnacentral:rRNA from 1 species
AACGAACGCUGGCGGCAGGCUUAACACAUGCAAGUCGAACGCAUCGCAAGAUGAGUGGCAGACGGGUGAGUAACGCGUGGGAACAUACCCUUUUCUACGGAAUAGCUCUGGGAAACUGGAAUUAAUACCGUAUACGCCCUACGGGGGAAAGAUUUAUCGGGGAAGGAUUGGCCCGCGUUUGAUUAGCUAGUGGGUGGGGUAAAGGCCUACCAAGGCGACGAUCCAUAGCCGGUCUGAGAGGAUGAUCAGCCACAUUGGGACUGAGACACGGCCCAAACUCCUACGGGAGGCGGCGGUGGGGAAUAUGGGACGAUGGGCGCAAGCCUGAUCCAGCCAUGCCGCGUGAGUGAUGAAGGCCUUAGGGUUGUAAAGCUCUUUCACCGAUGAAGAUAAUGACGGUAGUCGGAGAAGAAGCCCCGGCUAACUUCGUGCCAGCAGCCGCCGUAAAAC